rnacentral:lncRNA from 1 species
AGGGUCUCACUUCACCCAGGCUGGAAUGCAGUGGUGUGAUCACAGCUCACUAUAGUCUCGAUCUCCUGGGCCUCCCACAUCAGCCUUAUCACUCAUUCUGGGGGCAGCCCUCUGGCAUGUAAUGAGCAGUCCUAUGGAGAGGCCCAUGUGACAGUAGCCAUGCGAGUGACACUGGAAGUGAAACCUGCAGCUCCAGUCAAGCCUUUAGAAGACUGCAGCCCUGGCUGACAGCUUGACAGCAAACUCAUGAGAGACUCUCAGCUUGAACAACUCAGCUAAACUGUUCCUGGGUUCCUGGUCCUCAAAAACUGUACGAGAUGAAAAAAAAGUUUGUUUUUUUAAGCUGCCAA